AUUUUUUCAACUCAACAGCUUCAUUGUGGAGACCCUGGACUCAGGCCCACCACUAGACAUGGCUUUACAACGGUGUCUAAAACAGGGACGCUAUUGUAAAGCUGAGUCCAGCGGUGGUCCCAUGUCCAAAACCUCCACAACAGCACCGGUGGAAAAAGGAAUCCGAGUUCUUCUCAGCCUUGUGAAGAUGGGACUCUUGGGGAGGUGGACUUAGGUCUACAGCUGAGCCACCCAGCAUCUGUACUACCGCCUAUUCACUUUAAUUAUAUCUG